GUGCGGCAGGUAGCCUAGUGGUUAGAGUGGAGGGGAGGCAGGUAACCUAGUGGUUAGAGUGGAGGGGUGGCAGGUAGCCUAGUGGUUAGAGUGGAGGGGAGGCAGGUAGCCUAGUGGUUAGGGUGGAGGGGCGGCAGGUAGCCUAGUGGUUAGAGUGGAGGGGAGGCAGGUAGCCUAGUGGUUAGAGUGGAGGGGAGGCAGGUAGCCUAGUGGUUAGAGUGGAGGGGAGGCAGGUAACCUAGUGGUUAGAGUGGAGGGGAGGCAGGUAGCCUAGUGGUUAGAGUGGAGGGGAGGCAGGUAGUCUAGUGAGUGGAGGGGAGGCAGGUAGCCUAGUGGUUAGAGUGGAGGGGUGGCAGGUAGCCUAGUGGUUAGAGUGGAGGGGAGGCAGGUAGCCUAGUGGUUAGAGUGGAGGGGAGGCAGGUAGCCUAGUGGUUAGAGUGUAGGGGCGGCAGGUAGCCUAGUGGUUAGAGUGGAGGGGUGGCAGGUAGUCUAGUG
rnacentral:lncRNA from 1 species